UACGGAGGGUGCAAGCAUUGAUCGGAAUUACUGGGCGUAAAGCGCGCGUAGGCGGGUUUGAAAGUCGAUUGUGAAAGCCCUGGGCUUAACCCGGGAAUGGCAGUCGAAACUCCAAAUCUUGAGUGCCUGAGAGGAUGGCGGAAUAACCGGUGUAGUAGUGAAAUACGUAGAUAUCGGUUAGAACACCUGAGGCGAAGGCGGCUAUCUGGCGGUGCACUGACGCUGAGGUGCGAAAGCGUGGGGAGCAAACAGG
rnacentral:rRNA from 1 species